ensembl:lncRNA
GAUGUUAUACCAUGGCAGUGUCCCUGUGGAGGGAGGCAGCUAUUCACCACUUUCAUGUGAGAGACCACAUAAAGGUCUCUCACAUAAAGCUGAGCCAGUCUGCUUAUGGGCCACAGCUGCACACUACAUAAUUCACAAACACUAACACAAAAGAAGAGGUCAGAGCCCAGGUCCAUAUCAUUGGUGUGGCCACUACUGACACGUCCAUCAAACUGGAGGUAUUCCUGGAAAGUGGAGAAAGCCUCCAUAUUGACACAGACGUGGAAGCUCUUUGAUGAGGAGCUGGAAAAGGCCAUGGUCAGUGUGGAUAGUAAAAUCAAAGGGGAGCAUAUUACCCAGAUGGGGGGGGAAAAAAAACAAAACAAAAAACAACAGUGUGAGUAGUGAAAGGGAAAAAAAACAAAAGUGGUUUGUGUGUAUUGUUGAGAAUGUUCAGAAAAAUUUGAGCAAUUAUGGAUUAGAAAUUAGACCUACUGGUCUUACAGAAACAACCUUAGAGGGUACACCGUACCUCCCAUUCAAACUAUCUCAAUGUUAAAUUAUCUGCACCAAGUUUCCAGCUAAGAAGUAUUUGAAACAUUUUGGACUUGACUUCUUUAUCUCAGCCUUCACAGAAAAUGACAUGAAACUCCCUCAGAAAAUGAAGAAAAAGCUCUACUUUGUUCGCUCAAAGAUUGACAACAAUAAGCUGAGAGAAGAGAGACUUUUCAUGCCCAACUUCAACCUGGAGAUCAUCAUCAAGGAUGGAUAAAGUUGUGUGCCAUGUCGUCUGGUGAUACUGCCUAAGGGAAGCAUGUCCAUAAACAGAAUUGGUCCUAACACCGAACCCCGUGGAACUCCAUAAUUAACAAUGUGUGUGAAGAGGCAUCUCCAUUUAUAUGAACAAAUUGGAGUCUAUUUGGGUGAAACAAUUCUAGUUUAUUCUCACAUUUAGACUUGGGGAUUAGAAAUUCACUGUAAAAUUUUGCAUAGCCUUUAUUUCUUAGUUGAAGGAUUCGUGUGUCAACAUGACCCGCUUAGCUAUGUUAUCUGCUGACAGUAUGAAACUCUCAGGGAAGCCAGUGCCAGGGGCUCCCUAAGCAUAGAUGGUAGAUGUGUGUGUGAGAGUAUAAAAGGGAGCUGCAACAUCUCAAUGGUAGAGCUAACUUGACUGCACAAGUGAUGGUUAACGUCUGUUUUGCGCUCCUGCGUGCAGUAAUUAAAACAAAGAAUGUCCACAGUUGAUCUCGUUGCAGACUUUAACAGAAAAUUCCACCACAGAUAUGAUACAAACCACUGCAGCACAGUACCUGUAAUACCUACAGCAUGUUCUAAUCGCUCUAAUAGGAUAUUAUGGUCAACAGUAUCGAACGCUGCACUAAGGUCUAGCAGGACAAGCACAGAGAUGAGUCCACUGUCAGAGGCCAUAAGAAGAUCAUUUGUAACCUUCACUAAAGCUGUUUCUGUGCUGUGAUGAGCUCUGAAACCUGACUGAAACUCUUCAAAUAAGCCAUUCCUCUGCAGAUGAUCAGUUAGCUGUUUGACAACUACUCUUUCAAGGAUGUUUGAUAUGAAAGGAAGGUUGGAGAUUGGCCUAUAAUUAGCUAAGACAGCUGGGUCUAGAGAUGCUUUUUAAGUAAAGGUUUAACUACAGCCACCUUGAAGGCCUGUGGUACAUAGCUGAUUAUUAGAGAUAGGUUGAUCAUAUUUAAGAUUGAAGCAUUAAUUAGCUGCUGGAGCCUAUCCCAGCUGUCUUAUGGUGAAACAGGUCGCUAAUCUUUCUAACACAUGGACAAUCAGUCGCACUCACAUUCACACCUAUCAGGAUGGUUAUACCAACUAACUGCAUGUCUUUGGACUGUGGGGGGGGGGGGGGCAGAGUACCCAGAGAGAACAUUCAAACUCCAGAAAGAAAGACCCGGCCUGAUGGUGGAAUUCAACUCAGAACCCUUUUUGCUGUGAGGUAACAGUGCUAACCACCAUGCUGCUCUGUUAAGAUUAUCAAACACUAUUAUUUUUUUAAAAUAUUUUCCUCAAACAAAUUCUGGUAUUUAUGAGUCCAUUUGCAUCAUGCCUACAUACAUUUUUAUUGUAAGGGCAAAUGAACAGUCUCUACUUGAUAAUAAAAACAGAAUGAUUCGUUUAUAUAGUUGUGUAUAUAAUUUCAAACAGAAAGGGCUCUUCAUGUAUCCUUUACAAUAAAAAUAAAUGCAGAUACAAAGGAAACAUUAAUAUUACUGACAUUUCCAUAUACUUCUCAGUUUUCACAGUGAGGAAGGUCCCGUCAGGGAAAAUGCACACUUCCUUAAUGGAAAAGAAAAGAAAAAAAAAAAAACUGUCCAGCUAAAGGAGGUAAUGGUGCAAGUUAAGUUUUGUAUUAAAACUGGUUAAACUAAUGUGUUAAAUGUAACACUGCUGGUUCAGCAGAUUGUAUGAGGCUGUGGGACCUCUUUUCUAGUUAGUGGAUUUUUGAUUAUUUGCUUAAUAAUUCUUUAAUUCUGCCAUGACUGUGAUUCUGUCACUGUAGGUACCUUGUGGUAGGCAGGAUGCACUCAAAUGCAGGACUCAAUUCACAUGGGGAUAAAGGCAGCUUUAUUUUGUUAGAAGGAAAACGAGAACACUACCAAACAAAACCUAAAAUGGGAAGACUAAAAACUAGGCAAUACAAGGGACCACAGCACACUGGGAACAAUCACACAUCUAUGAGGGACAAUGCAGCACACAGAUGAAAACACAGGGCUUAUAUACAUAAGGGAGUAAUAAGGGAAGUUGAAACACAUGGUGAACACAACUGGGAGAGAUCAAACAUAACGAGAUGGGGAUGGGGGGGAAGCAAAAUGAAAAACACUAACAUAGGACGCAAGCCUCUCAAAGUGAAACAGGAAAAAUGUACUUUUUCUUUUUAGAUGAAAAAAGGUGAAGCUUGCAGGGCUAAAUAUGUGCUUAUGCUGUGUCGACAGACAAAAGAGGAGAGAUCUGAGGUCCAGAGCUGGAGGCCUAACCAGCUGCAGGUACUCCUGGAAAACUGACAGAGGCUCUAUAGGCUGUGUCCCAAUUCAGGGUCUGCAUGCUUGAAGUACGCACACUACGCGUGCUACGUACGGUGCGUACUAUAAGUACGAGAAGUGCGGAAGUGAGAGGCUUGUGAAAUGGGACGGUCUAGCCUUCGUCGUGCUGCUCAGGUUGCCUAGCAACCAUUAUACUAACCGCGAGAAAAGUUACAUACAGCAGAAAUGAAGGAGAAAAAAAUGUUUUGUUGGCCAUUCAUUUUUGUCAUGACAUCACUUUGAUUAGUUGAGUAUCUGAGGCUGAGACCACGUGACUGUAAAACAUGAUAGUUGGGCUUCAUUUCUGUACUGAAGUCAUUUUAAGAUUAGUUAGUAAAUAACAAUUAGCUCAUGUUGUUCAUGAGACUAAAAUCAUCUAACUGUGGUAAUGUAAAUAUAAUAUGGCCAAUAUUAUAUGUAUUUGUAACGGAGCGAAGGUGAUUUUUGCACAGUGUUAUUAAAGGAGGGAAACCUUCCUCAAAAUGGACAGAGCAGUGGAGCAGCCAAGGGAAUGCACACGAAUUAAAAACUGUAUGUCUAAAAUAUAAUUUAUUAUAUUUAAACAGUUAAAAAUGUAAAAUGAAUUAAAACAACCCUGGCCAGGGAACAACACAAUAGAAAUCAAUAAAACACAACAGUAAAAAUCCAGUGGCGUCCGGCACAGUAUAAAAGUCACUAAAAAUUAAAAAUCCAGGCAAGCGGUGCAGAAGGGGGAAACCCGGCGGCGUCCUCGUCUUCCUGUCCGUGUUCUCCGCUCCGGCACGCUAAACAAAAAACAAAAACGGGCAGCGACAGUAACUACUUUUAGCGGCUACCGUUCAAUAAAGUGGGAUAAGUCAGAAGACUUACCCCGGGUGGGCAGAGCUCUCAACUAUCUAUCUAACAUCCAUCCAUCCAUCCAUCCAUUCGCUUCUGCUUAUCCUUUUCAGGGUCGCGGGGGCGCUGGAGCCUAUCCCAGCUGUCAUAGGGCGAGAGGCAGGGUACGCCCUGGACAGGUCACCAGUCUGUCGCAGGGCUAACACACAGGGACAGACAACCAUUCGCACUAACAUUCACUCGCACAUUUACACCUAGUGGCAAUUUGGAUUAUCCAAUUAACCUAUCCCCACAAGCUGCAUGUCUUUGGACGGUGGGAGGAAGCCGGAGUACCCGGAGAGAACCCACACAAACACGGGGAGAACAUGCAAACUCCACACAGAAAGACCCCGGCCUGAUGGUGGAAUUGAACUCAGGACCUUCUUGCUGUGCGCCAACAGUAAUGUUUUAAUGUUCUUCGUUAUUAAACACUCGCACAUAAAUAAGUGACAUCAUAUUCAGUACUUACUUUUGACAGUUCACUCUUCGGCCGCUCCCUUCUGCUGUAUUUUGCGGCAAAAUUAUCCACACCCACCGCCGCGCGAUGAAUUGUGGAAUAUAUGGGACCACGAAGCGUGCAUCGGACCACGCUUGAUAUUUGGGGAAAUCGACAGCGCAUUUGGAGUAUGCAUUUGAAGUGCACUUCGAAUUGGGACAGCCGUCGUCGCGUGGCGGUGACGUAAUCGCACUUGAAAUGCGUACUUCAAGCGUGCAGACCCUGAAUUGGGACACAGCAAUAGUGAGACAGUAAAACAAUAUGGAGAUGAUUACAAAAAUUAAAAAUAAAAUCUGUGUCAAUAAUUAAGAAAAACUAUUCAUAGUUCAUAUGUUUUGUUCAGACAAAUAUACAAAAUAAUAUUUCAUUGUUUUUAAUGCUUAUUUGUAUUUUAAUGCCAACUUGUUAUGAGCUGUGCAGUAUUUUACAGUUAUAGUUUUAACGGUUUUACAUUACAAAUUCUAAUAAAGAUUUCUAAAUGCAUAAAACAGUCUCCUGUUUAUUAAAUGAAACUGAAAGCAUGGUUACUACAACACUCUUUAACGACCAGUUAAACUGCAGGCUCUGCACGUGUGGACAAAUGUCAUCCAUAAGGGCAACUGUGCUGCAGCUUUGAUACUCCAGUCCUUGAGUGCACUGAGUGUCCUGAAACUUUUAUGUGUCCCUGCUGCAACACACCUGAAUAAAAUUAGGCCAUUAGCAAGACUGACUGCCUGCUGAGGUGGAAAUUCAGCCAUUUGAUUCAUGUUACAGCUGCUCGUGGGUGAAUGAACAUGGUGCAAUAAAAGUACUUGUAGAAGUACAUUUUUCCUAACACUUACAUUUAUUUAAAUGUACUUGUGUAGAGUUAGGGUUUGCCACCUUAGCAUGUAGUCAAGUCUUGUUAUAGAGUCUAGUUCUAUUUUUGGACAAGAAGAUGUCAAUAAAGAGGAGAGGGAGAGCUG